UUUUUUUUUUUUUUUUUUUUUUUUGGUUUUUCCAGACAGGAUUUCUCUGUGUAUCCCUGGCUGUCCUGGAACUCACUCUGUAGACCAGGCUGGCCUUGAACUCAGAAAUCUGCCUGCCUCUGCCUCCCAAGUGCUGGGAUUAAAGGCGUGCGCCACCACUGCCCAGCAAAUCAACCCAGUCUUAAGCUUGCUGUUUUUACUAGCUGUGUGUACUGCUGCCACCAGCCCAAGCCUCCAUUCAGAGACCAGAAACCCACACCAGCCUUAUGACUUGACUUGGACAAUCUAGAAUCCUGAGACUGGUUACUUCGCUCAACUGGCUUAUAUGAAAAUGCCACUUGGGACCCUCUGGUUCCCAGAUUUGACCUUUGAUCUGUGCCAGCUGGCCGAUAACUCAUGGCCUGACUUUACGACAUUCAUACCUCCAAUGUUGAUGGAGGGCUUUUUAUAUAUGUCCCAGGGAGAAGAGGCCUGUUGCAUGUGGGGGUCCAGAACAAUUUUACUGUGCUUCUUGGGGAUGUGAGACAUCGGUCACAGGGAUCGGGACUUGGAGGGUGUCAAGGGAAGACCUUAUCACAGUUGCCCAGCAGGGGGAUGACUCCAGAGUUCUACUGAGGUUCACAGACACAGGGAAACAAGCAAAGGGGUGGAAGCUGGGAGGUCUUGGGGCCUCUGGCUCCACGUCAUCAGAGGGGUCAGUCCGGGACUCCUUUUUACAGUCAGACUCUUGAUAAAACCAAUGUGAACCCCCUACAGGUAGCUGUAGGACCAAACCAGAUUUUGAUAAACCCUAAAACUGUAGGAGGAAGCCCUGCAGGGGGAAAACCUGUGCCAAUGCCAGUCCUCAGACUGGCGGCUACCGUGCUCCCAGUCUUCCCCCCUCCUUUCCCCCUUCAGAGAUCCUCAGCUCGAUAAUCUUUCCUGAAAGGCACAGAGCCCGUAGACCCCUUCUGGUCAAUGAUGUUAAAGGCCUCCCAAAUUCUGAAUGACUCCCAGCCAGAGCUAACCACUGCUUGUUGGUUAUGGUAUAAUGCUAGACCCCCCCCCCUUUUUGUUUAAGAUUUAUUUAUUAUUAUUUGUAAGUACACUGUAGCUGUCUUCAGACACACCAGAAGAGGGAGUCAGAUCUUGUUACGGAUGGUUGUGAGCCACCAUGUGGUUGCUGGGAUUUGAACUCUGGACCUUCGGAAGAGCAGUCGGGUGCUCUUACCCACUGAGCCAUCUCACCAGCCCCUAGACCCCCUUUUUAUGAAGGUAUUGAAUUAGUAUCCAGAUAUGAUGAGUCCGAGAAGGACACUGCAUGCAGGUGGUCCCGGGAAGGCACAGCCUUAAUUCUACAGACCAUAUCAGGACAGAGCACCUGCUUAGGGAAAGUCCCCUUGUCACAUCGACACCUCUGCACUCACUGUCCAUCCCAAAUGGAUUAUCCUACCCCACGGGCAAGCAUGGUGGGCUUGUUCAAUGGGACUGACCAUAUGUGUGUGUGGAGAGGUCCUUAAUUCCUCUACCACAAAGGAGUUCUGGAUUCUAGUCUAGUUAGUACCAUGCAUAACCUAUUAUUCAGAAGAAGUAGUCCUGAAGAGCCUAGGAGGGCGUGUUGGAGGGGACCUCAUGAGGCAGGAAAGGAAAGCUAUCUCCCUGACUUUAGCUGUAAUUCUAAGGGCAGGGCUAGCCGGAGUGGGUACUGGGAUCUCCGCACUGUUGUUGCAGGAAAAGAAUAACAUCUGUUUAAAAGCAGACAUAGAUGAGGGCAUCCAAUGCCUGAAAAAAAUCCGUUGCACACCUAGAGUGCAAUAUAGACUCUCUGGCUGGGGUGGUGCUGCAGAACAGGUGAGGGUUAGACUUAGUGUUCCUACAACAGGGAGGUGCUGCUCUGCACGAAGAAUGCUGUUUCUAUGUCAGCCAUUCUGGAGUUAUUAGGGAGUCACUAGCUAAAGUUAGAGAAAGCAUAGAUGGGCGCCAAAGAGAAUGAGAGAACUCCAAAAGUUAGUAUCAUUUGCUGUUCAAUACUUCCCCCUGGCUAACUACCCUUAUUUCCACAAUCAUGAGACCCCUGAUUUUACUGUUGCUCACUUUUGGGCCAUGCAUCAUCAAUAAGCUUUUGCUGUAUGUGAAGCAGAGACUGAGGGCCAUUCAACUAAUAGUGAUAAGGUCCCAAAAUAUCAGCCAGCCAGUGCAGACAAUCUAAGUUUGUAGAGUCUAAGAUUGGCCUCUGAAGUCACAAAUGGGGGGGGGGGGGAGGGGGACAUGAAAAGAUACAGGCAACCUGCCUCUGCACUUUCUCGCUGCUUGCAGAAACCCCCCCCCCUUGCUCUUUCCCAUAGCUAACAAAGGGCUUCCCUCCCCUCCCCAGCCUUUCAGAAAGGACCCGAUUUGGCACCGGAAUAUUGCUAUUCCCAUUUUCAUAGAGGCAUUCCCUAAUAACUCUCCACCCGCAGCAACAGAUGCCAGCUUGAGAAUAGACAAACAGCAGCCUUCUUCAGCUCCCGUUUGCUGAGGCUGGUACUCUGACUGAUAGAUGGUUAAGUACUUCCCAAAGUAGCUGGUACCUGUCCUUGAGAAAAGAGAAGAUCAAACAUCCUUGAAGAGAUAAGAGUCUCACGUUUGGGCCUCGAGAGGAGGGUAAUCAAACAUCCACAAACAGCAGUGGCUAGUUGUGAAAACGCACUAGCUCCCAAUAGCACCAUAAAGUUACUUCCCAGGUCAGAAAAGUUCCCCCCUCCUAGUUGUGCGAUUCUGCCCCACUGCCUGAACAAACGAUAUCGUGUUUGAAAGAUGACUUCCCUUGUCACUCCCCCUGUCACCCUAAAAUCCAAAGAAUCCUUGAUUAUGCUCAUAUAAAAACGCCAAACCUCUAGGCACAGGGUCCCACUCCUGUCCUGUGCAGUGGGAAGGUUUGUGAUUUGAGUCUGACUCAAAUUAAUAAAAGACUCUCUUGUUUCACU
rnacentral:lncRNA from 1 species